CUCGCCUGCAUGAAGUCGGAAUUGCUAGUAAUCGCGGAUCAGCAUGCCGCGGUGAAUACGUUCCCGGGCCUUGUACACACCGCCCGUCACACCAUGAGAGCCGGGAACACCCGGAAGUCCGUAGUCUAACCACUAAGGAGGACGCGGCCGAAGGUGGGUUUGGUAAUUGGGGUGAAGUCGUAACAAGGUACC
rnacentral:rRNA from 1 species